CCUGUUAGCAUAUGGUUAGCAUCGUCUCUUUGUUUUCGCCAGUAAAAGUGGCGUUGAGUGUUUGUUUACACAAGUGCUUAUAGUAAAAUAGUUAAUAGUGUUUUGGGGAGUUUCUUCGAUAAACUUUAGCCUCCAUUUAUGAGGAAAAAGAUGGAAAAGAGGUUACAAAAGCAGCGUUUUGGCCAAGAAAAUUCCACAGCAACAGGUGUGAUCCCACAGGCUCCCUGGCUGACCAGGUGGAGAGCUAAACAUGGAUCUAAAGGAGGGUUGUGGCAGUCAGGGGAGCCAUGAGAGCUCCAUUUUGCGCCCCACCUCCUGGCAGGCCUUCGCCGGUACCAGCACGCUACACGGUCUGCGCUUCAUCUUUCCAUAUGGUCAGACCGGCGCUCGCCGCUUGCUCUGGGCUGCAGCCCUGCUGGCCUGCCUGGGACUGUUCGCUCUGGAGAGCGCAGAGAGGCUCGCGUACUUCCUCUCCUACCCUCACUUGACCAGCGUGGAUGCCGUGGUGUCGAGCAGUCUGGUUUUCCCUGCCGUCACCAUUUGUAACCUCAACAUCUACCGCUUCAGCCACCUGACCAGCAACGACCUGUACCACGCCGGAGAGCUGCUGGCGCUGCUGGACGUGGACCUGACCAUCCCGCAGCCUCACCUGGCGGAGCCGGAUGUGCUCGCUUUCCUGCAGGAAAGGACCAACUUCACAGCCUACAAGGCCAAGGCGUUCAACAUGAAGGAGUUCAUGGAUCGGGUCGGCCAUGACCUCGAGGAGAUGAUGCUCUACUGCAGAUACCAAGGCCAGGACUGCAGCCAUAGCGACUUCAAAACUGGUACGGCCCAAGUCCUUUCCAGUGAGAACAGAGUUCUGAAACUCCUCUCCAUGAGAAACUGAAACGUAUUCCUGCAGUUAUGAAUGUCUCUGAUCAUGGUUACUUUGUAAGGACAUCCAUGUGAAAGAGAUUAAUCGUCUUAAGGAAUUUCUUUCCUGGAAAAAUGAAGGUUCCUUAGAGACGAGAAUCUAACUUUUCCCAGCCGGGCUAUAUUUGCAGAGCCACAUUUCAGCUCUGAAUCCAAAGUGAGGCAACGCUAAACAUUUAAAUGGUGCUAAAGCAGCAUCUGGCCAUGGUGCUAACAUGUUGGGUCAGAGAAGGUGAACAACUGCAUCUCUCAGCUCUUGUCCUGCUGCAUCUGGGGCCGUUUUCUAAUGUCAGAACAUGUCGAAAUUUAAAAACCUUCUUAGAUUUAAUGCAGAUGUUUAAUACCAUAAAGCAUGGAAAAAACAAACAAACCUUGAAUUAACCUUUUAGAAAGACUUUAAUAAGUUAAUGAUCAUCUGGACAUUCAUUCUCACCUGUUUUCAUUAGUCAGAUUACAUUUCUGUUUAAUUUCAUUAUUAAAACACAGAAAUGAGAUUGUAAAUAUUUCAUUUUAACUAAACUUAAAUUAACUUUAAACUUUCACUGAAAUGUAAUCUCCAGUGAAAAAAAAUCGGAAUCAAGCAUUAAGUAAAUUAAAUUUACCUCCGUAAUAUAUUUUAUUUAGUGUAUAUUUUCUGUCUACUCUGCACUUUUAGUGGCUUUUAUAGCACCUAAUAUCACAUUAAAGAAUACUUGUUUCAGUUACCAUAAUGCUUACAUCUAAUUUUAUUU